AACGAACGCUGGCGGCAGGCUUAACACAUGCAAGUCGAGCGCCCCGCAAGGGGAGCGGCAGACGGGUGAGUAACGCGUGGGAAUCUACCCAUCUCUACGGAAUAACGCAUGGAAACGUGUGCUAAUACCGUAUACGUCCUUCGGGAGAAAGAUUUAUCGGAGAUGGAUGAGCCCGCGUUGGAUUAGCUAGUUGGUGGGGUAAAGGCCUACCAAGGCGACGAUCCAUAGCUGGUCUGAGAGGAUGAUCAGCCACACCGGGACUGAGACACGGCCCAGACUCCUACGGGAGGCAGCAGUGGGGAAUAUUGGACAAUGGGCGCAAGCCUGAUCCAGCCAUGCCGCGUGAGUGAUGAAGGCCCUAGGGUUGUAAAGCUCUUUCACCGGUGAAGAUAAUGACGGUAACCGGAGAAGAAGCCCCGGCUGACUUCGUGCCAGCCGCCGCAGUAA
rnacentral:rRNA from 1 species